rnacentral:rRNA from 1 species
GUAGGUGGCAAGCGUUGUCCGGAAUUAUUGGGCGUAAAGCGCGCGCAGGCGGUUCUUUAAGUCUGAUGUGAAAGCCCACGGGCUCAACCGUGGAGGGUCAUUGGAAACUGGAGAACUUGAGUACAGAAGAGGAAAGCGGAAUUCCACGUGUAGCGGUGAAAUGCGUAGAGAUGUGGAGGAACACCAGUGGCGAAGGCGGCUUUCUGGUCUGUAACUGACGCUGAGGCGCGAAAGCGUGGGGAGCAAACAGGAUUAGAUACCCUGGUAGUCCACGCCGUAAACGAUGAGUGCUAAGUGCUAGGGGGGUUUCCGCCCCUUAGUGCUGCAGCUAACGCAUUAAGCACUCCGCCUGGGGAGUACGGCCGCAAGGCUG